CAGAACAGUUUCCCACAGCAAUGGAAGUUCUAUGACAGCAUUGGGGUUACAAAAGCUGGGUGAGCACUGUACCGGUUCCAAAAUUUGGGUUUGAGGCAAGGAAGGUUAUUCAAUGAUGGAAUCUUCCAGAGACACAGCGAGAGAGGGA